rnacentral:rRNA from 1 species
AGUGAACGCUGGCGGUAGGCCUAACACAUGCAAGUCGAACGGCAGCACAGUAAGAGCUUGCUCUUACGGGUGGCGAGUGGCGGACGGGUGAGGAAUACAUCGGAAUCUACUUUUUCGUGGGGGAUAACGUAGGGAAACUUACGCUAAUACCGCAUACGACCUACGGGUGAAAUCAGGGGAUCUUCGGACCUUGCGCGAUUGAAUGAGCCGAUGUCGGAUUAGCUAGUUGGCGGGGUAAAGGCCCACCAAGGCGACGAUCCGUAGCUGGUCUGAGAGGAUGAUCAGCCACACUGGAACUGAGACACGGUCCAGGCUCCUACGGGAGGCAGCAGUGGGGAAUAUUGGACAAUGGGCGCAAGCCUGAUCCAGCCAUACCGCGUGGGUGAAGAAGGCCUUCGGGUUGUAAAGCCCUUUUGUUGGGAAAGAAAAGCAGCAGGUUGAUACCCCGCUGUUCUGACGGUACCCAAAGAAUAAGCACCGGCUAACUUCGUG